rnacentral:rRNA from 1 species
GACGAACGCUGGCGGCGUGCUUAACACAUGCAAGUCGAACGGUGAACGAGGGAGCUUGCUCCCUCCGGAUCAGUGGCGAACGGGUGAGUAACACGUGAGCAAUCUGCCCCGAACUCUGGGAUAAGCGUUGGAAACGACGUCUAAUACCGGAUACGACGCGGGAGGGCAUCCUCUCCGCGUGGAAAGAACUUCGGUUCGGGAUGAGCUCGCGGCCUAUCAGCUUGUUGGUGAGGUAACGGCUCACCAAGGCGACGACGGGUAGCCGGCCUGAGAGGGUGACCGGCCACACUGGGACUGAGACACGGCCCAGACUCCUACGGGAGGCAGCAGUGGGGAAUAUUGCACAAUGGGCGCAAGCCUGAUGCAGCAACGCCGCAUGAGGGACGACGGCCUUCGGGUUGUAAACCUCUUUUAGCAGGGAAGAAGCGAAAGUGACGGUACCUGCAGAAAAAGCACCGGCUAACUACGUG